UUGCCAGUUGCUACCAGGUAAUGCUGGGCACUCUGGUGAGACUGCCCCGGUUAACGGGGAGGAAGGUGGGGACGACGUCAAGUCAUCAUGGCCCUUACGCCUACGGGCUACACACGUACUACAAUGGCGCAUACAAAGGGCAGCGAUACCGCGAGGUGGAGCCAAUCCCAAAAAGUGCGUCCCAGUCCGGAUUGCAGUCUGCAACUCGACUGCAUGAAGUUGGAAUCGCUAGUAAUUCGAGAUCAGCAUGCUCGGGUGAAUGCGUUCCCGGGCCUU
rnacentral:rRNA from 1 species